rnacentral:lncRNA from 1 species
CGCGCCUGCGCAGUGGCUGGCUGCGCCCUUGCGCUUCCGUCGCCGCGCCAGCUCGGUGGUGCGGGGAUUCCCAGCGCGGGCUCAGCCCCUGGCCGGCCCCGCCCUUGGCUCCGUGCAGCCGGCUCCGGGCCCCUGCGCCGCUCACGCGCACGCGCACCGUGAUCCUCCAGCGUCUGCGGGAGUCUUCGGCGCCGAGGCUCCGAGCAGGUCUUCCGAAGGGUGUCCCGUGGGGCGUCCGGAUGCCGAGCGGCGAGCAAGGGGUGGCUACGGCCCACUCCGAGCCCGUGGCAAGGCGUUUGCAGGCGAAAAGCCAUCUGCCUCUUAAUUUGUGGAUCUCCUUUCAGAAUUUUUUUUCUAAAGGACUUUGAAAUUAUUGUCGGCUUGUCACCGAAGCGUAAACCUCCUGCCUGGAGAUCGGCCUUCUGAGCUUUACAGGUGUUCUCUGUUUAGUUCUUUCUUCCAUUCUAGGUGGGCCCAGCAGGUCUUACUUUCCCAGUUUAGCCGAUUUGGAAACCUCGGCCCAGGGAGGGGAGUUCACACUCCACCCCCGGAUCUAGGGCAGAGUCUAAAACCCGAUUCUCUUCCACGGAAUCCUUCUUUCGGCCCCCGUCGCCCACAGGAUAAAGUACGGGCUCGUCGCGCUCGCGUUGGAGGUCCUCCGUGUUGUGACUAACCUGCAUUGCGAUUGCCUUUAACCAGUCCUACUCUUAUCCAGAAAGCGUCUUUCCCGCCCCAUCUCCUCUUUCCGUCAAUACCCCUUACAACUUCCCGUACCAUUUUUUCUCUCAUUCAAUGGCUGCUUGGUUUCUUGGUACAUUUUAUGGAUCCCACUCCCUGCCUGCCUGUUCCAGACCACAACAGUUGAAAUGCGAGAGAUGGAAGCGGCACCCACCGGGCCCAAAGGCUGGCUUGUUCACAUCUCUUCUACGACUGGCAGCAACGGCAGUCAUCCCGCGGGCACCCGCUGAAAGGAGACUAGCUCCUUUCAUCUCCAGAAGGUCAAACAUCUCAUAAAGCGCUUUUGCAUGUUUGGAGAAAACAGAAGUAACCGAACCUGUCACAAUGCAAGCCUCAAUACCGCAGGAAGGAAACCACACACCGUGAGCCGUGUGGUGUACAGGUGUGCAGGGCAUCAGCAGGCAUUUAUGAAAGUGGACACCCAUUUUCCCCGGGUCUGAUCCCCAAGAUGCCUGGUGUAGUCCUCACUUCUCUCCAGGAUAUCUGGGCAGCCAAGAGAGGAAACUGUUGUUGCCUCAUUACCUCUUACGUCUCAGGCCCUGUCCACCUCGUACAAACUUUCAUUUAAUCCUCGUAACCGCCACCUGAGCCAGCUGUGAGGCCCAGGCCCUGCGCUGGCCUCUGGAGUCGGCCUGACUGAAUUUGGGCCCACUUGGGGUGACACAUCUGGAAAGGGAAACCCCAGCAGCGAAGGGCAGUCAGCAGCGUCCACCAAGAAGGGGACAGGCACCCCUUGGAACAGUGCCUGGACCCCUCUGCGGGCGGAGUGGCACCCCUGCCGGAAACCUGCUGCAGUGCCCCAGCAGGCGACAAGCAGGAAGAGCGCUGCAAGAGGAACCCUCCUGACCUGAUCUGGGCUGCCUUCAAGGCCUUGGUGGGCACCCAGCACUGGCCACUUCUCCCACUGCAGCUGCCCUGGCUCUUCUGAGUGCCAGUGCUUGGGCAUCUGGACUGGUGUGGACGUGGGUGCCUCCGGCAAAGUCUCUCAUUCAGGUUCAGGCUCAGUGUGUGCACCCUACGCAGACUUCACAUGGAACUGAUCAGCUGUGCUGGGCUG